GGGGGGGGGGGGGGGGGGGGCGGGGGGGGGGGGGGGGGGCGGGCGGGGGGGGGGGGGGCGUCGCUGGUGGGAGCGGGGGACGGGGGGGUGACGCGGGGGUGACCUACCUAUAAGACUGGGAUAACUUCGGGAAACCGUAGCUAAUACCGGAUACUAUUUUCAACCGCAGGGUUCACAAGUGGAGGACGGUCUUGCUGGCACGUAGAGAUGGAUCCGCGCUGCAUUAGCUAGUUGGUAUGGUAACGGCUUACCAAGGCAACGAUGCAUAGCCGACCUGAGAGGGUGAUCGGCCACACUGGAACUGAGUCACGGUCCAGACUCCUACGGGAGGCAGCAGUAGGGAAUCUUCCGCAAUGGGCGAAAGCCUGACGGAGCAACGCCGCGUGAGUGAUGAAGGUCUUCGGAUCGUAAAACUCUGUUAUUAGGGAAGAACAUAUGUGUAAGUAACUGUGCACAUCUUGACGGUACCUAAUCAGAAAGCCACGGCUAACUACGUG
rnacentral:rRNA from 1 species